AUCGUUGGUCCCGGCGCCUGAGUUUUAUG
rnacentral:piRNA from 1 species